rnacentral:rRNA from 1 species
CAGCCGUAAACUAUGCGCGUUAGGUGUAUCGGUGACCACGAGUUACCGAGGUGCCGAAGGGAAACCGUGAAACGUGCCGCCUGGGAAGUACGGUCGCAAGGCUGAAACUUAAAGGAUUGGCGGGGGAGCACAACAACGGGUGGAGCCUGCGGUUUAAUUGGACUCAACGCCGGACAACUCACCGGGAACGACAGCAAUAUGAUUGCCGGGCUGAAGACCCUGCAUGACUAGCUGAGAGGAGGUGCAUGGCGUAGACGU